rnacentral:rRNA from 1 species
AACAAACGCUGGCGGCGUGCCUAAUACAUGCAAGUCCAACGGGGAAAGCUUUCGUGCGAGUACUAGUGGUGCACGGGUGAGUAACGCGUGGAGAAUCUGCCUUAUAGUGGGGGAUAACUCGUCGAAAGAUUAGCUAAUACCUCAUAGGACCCCAAGAACUGCACUUCAAGAUGUCAAAGGUUUUUCGCACUAAGAUGAGUCAGCGUAAGAUUAGCUAGUUGGUGAGGUAACGGCUCACCAAGGCAACGAUCUUUAACUGCUCUGAGAGGAUGAUCAGUCACACUGGAACUGAGACACGGUCCAGACUCCUACGGGAGGCAGCAGUAGGGAAUAUUGCACAAUGGAGGAAACUCUGAUGCAGCGACGCCGCGUGAGUGAUGAAGGCCUUCGGGUCGUAAAGCUCUGUCGCAGGGGAAUAACGCAAUGAAUGUACCCUGUAAGAAAGGAUCGGCUAACUUCGUGCCAGCAGCCGCAGUAAAAC